UCCAGGUAACGUUAACUUACAAACGGCCAAAGAAAACGACGCAAAUUUCGCACCCAAACUAUUCGAAAACAACGCAUAUAAAUGUAUAUGUGCUGCCGAAGCAAGCACGAACAGAGAGCCCCGAGGAGAACUUCAUAUACCGCUGACUCCCAGAUAUGUUUCUCAUAGCUGAUCAUAUGCAAAUGAGGCUCUUCCUCUGCUAGCUGUGACUGGGCCCCUCCGCGUGACGCAGAGGAGCCCUUGGUCAUGCGUCACGAACCCUCCCCCACGCACAGACAGCACACAUCCUCCCCCUCGGGCAAAGAGCGUCCGCCCUCCUCACAGCGGACUGAGAGAAGACAAACCUCUCCUUCCAGAACAGCAGGGGCCGUGAAAACACAGAACACCGAAACUCAAAAGGGAUACCAUGGCUGACCCAAAACGAAGAAGAAAUCCGGGCCCAUUACUGUCCAUCUCAUCAAAAUUCACACAGAAUCAGGCCAUCGUCACCUGUCUCAGGUACAUUCUCAGGUUUAUAUUCAGUGUUUAAAGGAUUUUCUUUGAAUUUUGAGCUGAUUGCCUUAACACUGCACUUGGAUUUAAGAAACUUACAAUCUCAUCUUGUGUUGUUUUCUUAUCUUUAAGUUCAUUCAAAAUAUGAGGUACUUGAAAAACCUGUGAAAAGAACUCUGUGGCUGUGUCUUUAUGGGAAUUCUGAAAUCUGAAAAAACAUUAAAGGCUGUAUAAAGAGA